CUGUGUGUGUGUGUGUAUUCCCACCCUGUGUUCUGUGUGUGUGUGUGUGUAGUCCCACCCUGUGUUCUGUGUGUGUGUGUGUGUGUGUGUGUGUGUGUGUGUGUGUGUGUGUGUGUAGUCCCACCCUGUGUUCUGUGUGUGUGUGUGUGUGUGUAGUCCCACCCUGUGUGUGUGUGUGUGUGUAGUCCCACCCUGUGUGUGUGUGUGUGUGUGUUCCCACCCUGUGUGUGUGUGUGUGUGUGUGUGUAGUCCCACCCUGUGUUCUGUGUGUGUGUGUGUGUGUAGUCCCACCCUGUGUUCUGUGUGUGUGUGUGUGUGUGUGUGUGUGUGUGUGUGUGUGUGUGUGUGUGUGUAGUCCCACCCAGUGUUCUGUGUGUGUGUGUGUAGUCCCACCCUGUGUUCUGUGUGUGUGUGUGUGUGUGUGUGUGUGUAGUUCCACCCUGUGUUCUGUGUGUGUGUGUGUGUGUGUGUGUGUGUGUGUGUGUGUGUGUAGUCCCACCCUGUGUUCUGUGUGUGUGUGUGUGUGUGUGUAGUCCCACCCUGUGUGUGUGUGUGUAGUCCCACCCUGUGUGUGUGUGUGUGUGUGUGUAGUCCCACCCUGUGUGUGUGUGUGUAGUCCCACCCUGUGUGUGUGUGUGUGUGUGUAGUCCCACCCUGUGUGUGUGUGUGUGUGUGUAGUCCCACCCUGUGUGUGUGUGUGUAGUCCCACCCUGUGUGUGUGUGUGUAGUCCCACCCUGUGUGUGUGUGUGUGUGUGUGUGUGUAGUCCCACCUGUGUGUGUGUGUGUGUGUGUAGUCCCACCCUGUGUGUGUGUGUGUGUGUGUGUGUGUGUGUGUAGUCCCACCAUGUGUGUGUGUGUGUGUGUAGUCCCACCCUGUGUGUGUGUGUGUGUGUGUGUGUAGUCCCACCCUGUGUUCUGUGUGUGUGUGUGUGUGUGUAGUCCCACCCUGUGUUCUGUGUGUGUGUGUGUGUGUGUGUGUGUGUGUGUAGUCCCACCCAGUGUUCUGUGUGUGUGUGUGUAGUCCCACCCUGUGUUCUGUGUGUGUGUGUGUGUGUGUGU
ensembl:lncRNA